rnacentral:rRNA from 1 species
CACGUAGGGCGCAAGCGUUGUCCGGAAUUAUUGGGCGUAAAGAGCUCGUAGGUGGUUUGUUACGUCUGCUGUGAAAUCCUAGGGCUUAACCCUGGGCUUGCAAUGGAUACGGGCAGACUAGAGUGCGGUAGGGGAGAUCGGAAUUCCUGGUGUAGCGGUGAAAUGCGCAGAUAUCAGGAGGAACACCGGUGGCGAAGGCGGAUCUCUGGGCCAUUACUGACGCUGAGGAGCGAAAGCGUGGGGAGCGAACAGG